UACGAAGGGGGCUAGCGUUGCUCGGAAUUACUGGGCGUAAAGGGCGCGUAGGCGGCCUGCUAAGUCGAACGUGAAAUCCCCGGGCUCAACCCGGGAACUGCGUCCGAUACUGGCUGGCUUGAAUCCGGGAGAGGGAUGCGGAAUUCCAGGUGUAGCGGUGAAAUGCGUAGAUAUCUGGAGGAACACCGGUGGCGAAGGCGGCAUCCUGGACCGGUAUUGACGCUGAUGCGCGAAAGCCAGGGGAGCAAACGGG
rnacentral:rRNA from 1 species